rnacentral:rRNA from 1 species
AUACGGAGGAUGCGAGCGUUAUCCGGAUUUAUUGGGUUUAAAGGGUGCGCAGGCGGGCGAUUAAGUCAGCGGUGAAAGGCUCGGGCUCAACCGGAGCAGUGCCGUUGAUACUGGUUGUCUUGAAUGCGGUCAAGGCCGGCGGAAUGUGGCGUGUAGCGGUGAAAUGCAUAGAUAUGCCACAGAACACCGAUAGCGAAGGCAGCUGGCCGGGCCUGCAUUGACGCUGAGGCACGAAAGCGUGGGGAUCGAACAGGAUUAGAUACCCUGGUAGUCCACGCUGUAAACGAUGGACACUCGUUGUUGGCGACAGACAGUCGGCGGCCAAGCGAAAGUGAUAAGUGUCCCACCUGGGGAGUACGGUCGCAAGGCUGAAACUCAAAUGAAUUGACGGGG